rnacentral:lncRNA from 1 species
GGGUCUUACAGGUUCUAUGGCUGGGUGGAGGGUCCUACAGGUCCUAUGGCUGGGUGGAGGGUCCUACAGGUCCUAUGGCUGGGUGGAGGGUCCUACAGGUCCUAUGGCUGGGUGGAGGGUCUUACAGGUCCUAUGGCUGGGUGGAGGGUCCUACAGGUUCUAUGGCUGGGUGGAGGGUCCUACAGGUCCUAUGGCUGGGUGAAGGGUCUUACAGGCCCUAUGGCUGGGUGGAGGGUCUUACAGGUCCUAUGGCUGGGUGGAGGUUCUUACAGGCCCUAUGGCUGGGUGGAGGGUUUUACAGGUCCUAUGGCUGGGUGGAGGGUUUUACAGGUCCUAUGGCUGGAUGGAGGUUCUUACAGGCCCUAUGGCUGGGUGGAGGGUCCUACAGGUCCUAUGGCUGGGUGGAGGGUCCUACAGGUCCUAUGGCUGGGUGGAGGGUCCUACAUGUUCUAUGGCUGGGU